rnacentral:rRNA from 1 species
UACGGAGGGUCCAAGCGUUAUCCGGAUUUAUUGGGUUUAAAGGGUCCGUAGGCGGAUUUUUAAGUCAGUGGUGAAAGCCUGCAGCUUAACUGUAGAAUUGCCAUUGAUACUGGAAAUCUUGAAUUCAGUUGAAGUUAGCGGAAUGUGUCAUGUAGCGGUGAAAUGCAUAGAUAUGACACAGAACACCGAUUGCGAAGGCAGCUAACUAAGUUGACAUUGACGCUGAGGGACGAAAGCGUGGGUAGCGAACAGG